CCUGGGGCUGGAGGGUGGAAAACAGAAGAGGAAGUCGAUGGGGCUACCGGGAAAGCCCUGCCGGGACACCUGCCGGAGGAGACAGGCUGGGACCCCAGCGGCCCAGCAGCAGAGAAACAGAGGGGAUGAAGCUCCCCCAGCUGCCACCGAAGAGCCAGAAGCUGCAAGGAUGAAAGGCACAGGUCAACAGGGGCCACCAAAGAGGGAAACAAACAAACAACAGAAGUAAACGGGAUGCAGUUGGGUUUUAGCCGACCUCCGGUCCUAUGGACGCCAUACCAUCAUCUCCCAAACAAGAAAUCUCGUGAGAACAAAACUUACAAGCUCUCUGGGGACGAAUCAAAUCCUGAUGAGAAUGCCCCCACCCCCCAUGCUUUUUAAGAGCUACUGUGAGCUGAUUUUUUUUUUAAGGAAAAUGUGCGAAGUGGCAAGAAGUGAAUAAAUAAUUCAAAGACUCUGAGUUGGAGUCUGUAUGGACCCUGGGCAGCUUGGGUUCAUUUCGGUUUUACGCUGCUUGUCUGCACUGGGAAUGUGCAGGGAGCAAAUUUUUUCCCCUAGAAAAACAGCGCGUCAGCUCUCUUUGCCGGCUCAGUAACACUAAAGGCAUUGCAGCGUUAGCCAAACUGAAGCCAAAUGAAGUCAUCCACCGCAUGUGACACUUCCUUGUCCCCCGACUGCUCUGCAUUUCUCCUUUGAUCGCUCUUCCUAAGUGUGCCUGUGUUUUCCUGUGUUUCUUAUACGUACAACACAUCGGCUUCUCGCUAGCGAUUUUUAGCUCUCUGACACACAAUAAAAGCAUCCGUUUCCAGCUCA